rnacentral:rRNA from 1 species
AUUGAACGCUGGCGGCAGGCCUAACACAUGCAAGUCGAGCGGAGCGGCGGACGGGUGCGUGAUGCCUAUGAAUCUGCCUGGUAGUGGGGGAUAGCGUCCGGUAAUGGGCACUAAUGCCGCAUCCUCUCACAUGCGCCUAGGUCGGAUUAGCUAGUUGGGGGGGGAAAGGCAUACCAAGGCGACGAUCCGUAACUGGUCUGAGAGGAUGAUCAGUCACACUGGAACUGAGACACGGUCCAGACUCCUACGGGAGGCAGCAGUGGGGAAUAGUGGACAAUGGGCGAAAGCCUGAUCCAGCCAUGCCGCGUGUGUGAAGAAGGUCUUCGGAUUGUAAAGCACUUUAAGUUGGGAGGCGUUACCAACAGAAGAAGCACCGGCUAACUUCGUGCCAGCCGCCGCGGUAAUAC